UCUUCCUUCUGCUCUGGUCUCCUCUCUUCUUGGUCCCCUUAGUUGUUGUUGUUGUUGCUGCUGUGUCCCUCAGAGUCCUUUUUAAUGGAAGAGAGGAGUAGAACUCAAAGAUACAGCCCUCUUAGUCUGUGGAGAGAUCUUGUGGCUCCUUUGAGAUCUUUUCUAGUUCUUUCAAAGUUGCCCUCCCCAGUCUUGGUUUCCUUCUAACUUCUUGACCCCUUCUGAUCAAUGUUCAAAGUCUCUGCGGAUUAUAAGCCUGAGUGCAAAGAGGUGGAUUUCAUGAGGGGAGCAAGAUGGCACUUCAAGCCCUGACCCAAAGAAGGCGCAGCAGGGAUCCUGGAACUGGGAUGGAGGAAGAUGUACCUUCAAUGACUAUAGCACACAUGCUGUGGGCAGAUGUCAGCAAAUGUAGUUGUGUUUACACAGUCUAAUGUCCCAAGGUACAAUUCGAGGUGUUGGUUAAAGCCCUAUACAUCUUAGACCAAAUUAACAGAUGGACAGUAUUUUCCCAUACAAGCCUGCCUGUGUCUUGAGUUCAUCAGGAGAGGCCAUUUUCUCUGUCCCACUAUCCUCACAGGUAGUGUAUGUCAUACAACAACAAUGAAGAGUAUCAGUACAGAAAGGUUGAGUGCUAAGUGCUUCCAGGCCAAAAUGCUAGUUAAGGUACAAAACUAUAAAGAGUCUGGCUUUGGUUAUUCUGAUCACCUGUUGAGCAGCCCCUGAGGAAGCAGAAGCCAAAUGGAAUAGAGGUGGAAUCUGACUUCAUUCCUGGUAAUCGGACAGUGAUCUCCACCAAAUC